rnacentral:rRNA from 1 species
ACGUAGGGGGCAAGCGUUAUCCGGAUUUACUGGGUGUAAAGGGAGCGUAGACGGCAUGGCAAGCCAGAUGUGAAAGCCCGGGGCUCAACCCCGGGACUGCAUUUGGAACUGUCAGGCUAGAGUGUCGGAGAGGAAAGCGGAAUUCCUAGUGUAGCGGUGAAAUGCGUAGACAUUACGAGGAACACCAGUGGCGAAGGCGGCUUUCUCGACGACGACUGACGUUGAGGCUCGAAAGCGUGGGGAGCAAACAG